rnacentral:pre_miRNA from 14 species
AUGUAGAAAAUGAAAGACCCCCGGAGUGGGGACACCCUCACUCAAGUCUCAGGAUGACAUGACCUCCCAAGAACUCACAUAAGACC